AUGAGUAAUGACGCCUUCUCAAUCUGCUCCUGGAAUGUACAUGGUCUUGGUGAUAAUGAUAAAUGCUCCGAUGUUCUCUCCGAAUUGACAGCGAUUAAGCCGCACAUUACCCUCUUGCAAGAAUCAAAACCCGACACUCUCUUUGACCUCAAACUAAGAUCCUUCUUGCCACGACAUCUCGACCAAGUGUUCUCAUUACCAGCUGUGGGCACCGCGGGUGGCACCAUCUCUGCCAUCAACUCUGCCUCUUUUCAAGUUGUCUCCUACUCACACCUAACCUUCUCAUCCACCCUAAUCCUACAAUCAACUGCGUGCGCCCAACACAUUGCCAUCACAAACAUCUACGCUCCGUCGUCAUGAUCACUCAAGUAAGCCUUCUUAAAUGAACUCUCAUCUAUCUCACAACCAGACGACACCCCCUGGAUUAUCGCUGGCGACUUCAACCUUAUCCGCUUCCCCUAUGAUAAAAACAACCCUGCCUUCCGCCACGCUGAAGCCAAUGCGUUCAACCAAACCCUAGACGACUUAGCUCUCAUAGAAUUGCCCCUACUUGCUCGCAGGUACACCUGGUCAAACAAUAGAGCCACCCCCACCUUAGAACGGUUAGAUCGCGUUUUCUUUAACCUAGCAUGGGCUGACGCCUUCCCUAACACCUCGCUAUCCUCUCAUACUCGUUUCACGUCCGAUCACGUCCCACUUCUCAUCCACGUCACCACCACCAUCCCACGAUCCAAUUUCUUCAAAUUUUAG
rnacentral:rRNA from 1 species